GGGCCCGCACAAGCAGCGGAGCAUGUUGUUUAAUUCGACGCAACGCGAAGAACCUUACCUAGGCUUGACAUGACCCUGUAACUCUGGAAACAGGAGCCCCUCGCAAGAGGCGGGGCCACAGGUGGUGCA
rnacentral:rRNA from 1 species